rnacentral:lncRNA from 1 species
AAACAAAUUAGGACGUUCCUUUAUAUAAAAGGGACAAGAGGAUCUAAAGUGAAUCUAAAUGAAGAACACAGAAUGAUAUUAGAGGAAUAAGCAGUUCCAGUAGUUAAAUACUUGCCACACUGAAUCUGACCUAGCUUUUAUGUGCCUGUGCAAACUUUUUGGCAGUAGGUUUUUUACAGCACUGUGUACACCAACAAUCCCUUUCAAACACUGUUUUUUGUUGUUGUUCUCCUCAGCUGUGAAGAUUUCCCACAGGCAGCACUUCUGAGAAGGUCUGUAGCUGUAGUGAGGAAUCCAGAGGAAAAAAGGAGCCCUGCGAGAAUAAGCAUUGUAUGGCAAAUCUGGGCCCACGACCUGGACCCUAAAUUUCACUGGGCAGAUAGGCACAUCUUGGGGUACUGCAGCAGCUAUAUCACUUCUCCAGGCCUAGCACUUCUGGAAUGAGAAGGAGCUGUCAGGAAUAAUCUGGAAGAGAAGAGGCGUACUGGAAAGUGCCUACUUACCUUUGCUGAGCUGCUGAGAUGUAUAGAGAGCUUCCUGGUGGCAAAAUGAGGAGCCAUAGCUCUGCUCUGAAUAGUGCACUAUUGCCAAAGAGACAUCAAUUCCCUUUCUCCACCACCACCUUCCUAUGAAUGAACUGGUGAUAAAGAGAAAAGGUGCUAAGCCCAUUAUACGAAACACCAAAGGUCUGGUUAGGUCAUAACACAUAUCCAUGACAAACUGAAUGAAGAUUACAACAGAA